rnacentral:rRNA from 1 species
UAGGGAAUCUUCCACAAUGGACGAAAGUCUGAUGGAGCAACGCCGCGUGAACGAUGAAGGCCUUCGGGUCGUAAAGUUCUGUUGUAAGGGAAGAACAAGUGCCGCAGGCAAUGGCGGCACCUUGACGGUACCUUGCGAGAAAGCCACGGCUAACUACGUGCCAGCAGCCGCGGUAAUACGUAGGUGGCAAGCGUUGUCCGGAAUUAUUGGGCGUAAAGCGCGCGCAGGCGGCCUCUUAAGUCUGAUGUGAAAGCCCCCGGCUCAACCGGGGAGGGCCAUUGGAAACUGGGAGGCUUGAGUAUAGGAGAGAAGAGUGGAAUUCCACGUGUAGCGGUGAAAUGCGUAGAGAUGUGGAGGAACACCAGUGGCGAAGGCGACUCUUUGGCCUAUAACUGACGCUGAGGCGCGAAAGCGUGGGGAGCAAACAG